UAUUGCACAAUGGGCGCAAGCCUGAUGCAGCCAUGCCGCGUGUAUGAAGAAGGCCUUCGUGCUGUAAAGUACCUUCAGCGGGGAGGAAGGGAGUAAAGUUAAUACCUGUACUCAUUGACGUUACCCGCAGAAGAAGCACCGGCUAACUCCGUGCCAGCAGCCGCUGUAAUACGGAGGGUGCAAGCGUUAAUCGGAAUUACUGGGCGUAAAGCGCACGCGGGCGGUUUGUUAAGUCAGAUGUGAAAUCCCCGGGCUCAACCUGGGAACUGCAUCUGAUACUGGCAAGCUUGAGUCUCGUAGAGGGGGGUAGAAUUCCAGGUGUAGCGGUGAAAUGCGUAGAGAUCUGGAGGAAUACCGGUGGCGAAGGCGGCCCCCUGGACAAAGACUGACGCUCAGGUGCGAAAGCGUGGGGAGCAA
rnacentral:rRNA from 1 species